rnacentral:rRNA from 1 species
UAACGCGUGGGUAACCUGCCUCAUACAGGGGGAUAGCAGCUGGAAACGGCUGGUAAUACCGCAUAAGCGCACAGUGCUGCAUGGCACAGUGUGAAAAACUCCGGUGGUAUGAGAUGGACUCGCGUCUGAUUAGCUAGUUGGUGGGGUAACGGCCUACCAAGGCGACGAUCAGUAGCCGGCCUGAGAGGGUGAACGGCCACAUUGGGACUGAGACACGGCCCAA